CUUAACUGACGCUAAAGCUCGAAGGUGCGGGUAUCGAACAGGAUUAGAUACCCUGGUAGUCCGCACGGUAAACGAUGGAUGCCCGCUGUUGGCGAUACAAUGUCAGCGGCCAAGCGAAAGCGUUAAGCAUCCCACCUGGGGAGUACGCCGGCAACGGUGAAACUCAAAGGAAUUGACGGGGGCCCGCACAAGCGGAGGAACAUGUGGUUUAAUUCGAUGAUACGCGAGGAACCUUACCCGGGCUUGAACUGCAGCUGAACGAUUCAGAGAUGAUGAGGUCCUUCGGGACAGCUGUGGAGGUGCUGCAUGGUUGUCGUCAGCUCGUGCCGUGAGGUGUCGGCUUAAGUGCCAUAACGAGCGCAACCCUUUUCUCUAGUUGCCAUCAGGUUAUGCUGGGCACUCUAGAGACACUGCCGCCGUAAGGUGUGAGGAAGGUGGGGAUGACGUCAAAUCAGCACGGCCCUUACGUCCGGGGCUACACACGUGUUACAAUGGGUGGUACAGAGAGUUGGUUGUUUGCAAGAACGAUCUAAUCCUUAAAGCCAUCCUCAGUUCGGAUUGGGGUCUGCAACCCGACCCCAUGAAGCUGGAUUCGCUAGU
rnacentral:rRNA from 1 species